AGUGAACGCUGGCGGCAGGCCUUACACAUGCAAGUCGAACGGCAGCGCAGUAUUCGCUCGCUCUUACGGGUGCCGAGUGGCGGACGGUUGAGGGAUACAUCGGCAUCAACUUUUUCUUGGGGGAUAACGUAGGGAUACAUACGCUAAUACCCCAUACGACCUACGGGUGAAAUCAUGGGAUCUUCGGACCUUGCGCGAUCGAAUGAGCCGAUGUCGGAUUAGCUAGUUGGCGGGGUAAAGGCCCACCAAGGCGACGAUCCGUAGCUGGUCUGAGAGGAUGAUCAGCCACACUGGAACUGAGACACGGUCCAGACUCCUACGGGAGGCAGCAGUGGGGAAUUUUGGACAAUGGGCGCAAGCCUGAUCCAGCAAUACCGCGUGGGUGAUGAAGGCCUUCGGGUUGUAAAGCACUUUUGGUGGGAACGAAAAGCAGCGGGUUAAUACCCCGCUGUUCUGACGGUACCCAAAGAAUAAGCACCGGCUAACUUCGUG
rnacentral:rRNA from 1 species